rnacentral:lncRNA from 1 species
GCUCAAGAGACCUGUUCACAUUUAAUUAUAGACAAAUUUGUUAUUUCUCCUUUCUGUGCUUUAGCCUUUCCUUGGUUUUAACACUCAAAAUGGUAAGAAAAACUACUUCAUGGGACUCAAUGAAUAUGUAAAUGACUGGCAAUACCCACAGGAAGUCCAUUAUAAUUAAAUUUAUCAUGCUCCCAGCUAAGUCUGAUUCAUUAUGAGGAAGUCAGUUUUCAGAUGGUUUUAAAUUAACCCUAGAAUAAAAUAUUAGUAUCCAGUUCCUUCCCGUGCAGCACUAUUAACAGUCAUCCAGUCGCAGUGAUUUAAAUAGCACUCCAUUAGGAAGUCGAGCCAGAGGAAUGCCCCUACAGAAGUCAAAGAAAAUGAAAUAACUUGAUACGUGCAUAGCCCUCUUUUGCAUUGCAUACCAGCUAAGUUCCUAGAUGAAUAUGUUUACAUUAUGACAUCACAAUAUGUUGAUUCCCGUCUGGUCAGAGUUCCAAGGAACUUAUGCUACAAUCUUCCUUCCCAGAGUCACUGGUGAAAACUCUACAUCUAUGGAAGCGAUGCUGGGUUAUAAAGUUGUUUCUAUGAGCCUGUUUGAAGAAAUUAACUCAAGCAUAGCAAACCAAAUUCUCUCUCUUGGGACUUUAUAUCCUGAGCAAGUGACUUCAGAUGAUGGAGCCAGAUGGUGACUGUAUUAUUCCUGGGGGUAAUGAUGAUGUUGUGCUGACCAAAAUCUUCCCAUGGCAUGCACUUUGGUCUGCUCACCACUGUCCAGCCCCCCUUGAUGCCUGUUCAGUUCUCAAGCACGGACUUUCAGUUUUUCCUCCAAGCACAUGAGAGGAUUCUAGUGAAUCCCAUUUUGUAUUAAGACGGCCAGAAUCAAAUUCCUCUGUUAGUAACCAGAACGUGAUUUCCACUGACAUUCAGCCUUCUCCCUUUCCUCACAUUCUCAGAAAAUAAUUAUCAUCUUGCUGGCAUCUAGUACUUUUUUCUGUACUGUAAAGGGAGCAAAGAGGGAGGAAGAGAAGUUUUACUGGUGUGUCCAAGGAGCAUUAUGGCAAGUAAAGGUGAUCCUGGAACAUCCAUCUGGGACUGUAAACUCUCUGAGGCCCCCACCUGAAGCAGACGCCAGCACCAUGCUUCCUGUACAGUCUGCAGAACCAUGGUUUUUCACUCUGUUGUCCAGGCUGGCACGACCUCGGCUCACUGCAACCUCCACCUCCAGGGUACAAGCGAUUCUCCUGCCUCAGCCUCUGGAGUAGCUGGGAUUACAGGAAUGAGGAGAGAUGGCCUUGGUGGUCCUCCUUAGGUUGGCAACAUCCAGAUGCAAUUGUUCACAUACCAGCUUCUCAUAGCGCUACCAAAAGUCUUCAACUCUUUAAUUGGGCCUCUCAUGCCAAGAACCAGGAAGAGGCACAAAAUUCCUCACUGAGAUACGGUGUGUUCUACUUCCAUGACUUCCACACACCAUUCUUAGAAAUAGGAGGUGAGCAUGAACAGAAGGAAAAGGAAAAAUAUCAUUCAUGUCUG